CCUCCUACGGGAGGCAGCAGUAGGGAAUCUUCCGCAAUGGACGAAAGUCUGACGGAGCAACGCCGCGUGAGUGAUGAAGGUUUUCGGAUCGUAAAGCUCUGUUGUUAGGGAAGAACAAGUACCUUUCGAAUAGGGCGGUACCUUGACGAUACCUAACCAGAAAGCCACGGCUAACUACGUGCCAGCAGCCGCGGUAAUACGUAGGUGGCAAGCGUUGUCCGGAAUUAUUGGGCGUAAAGGGCUCGCAGGCGGUUUCUUAAGUCUGAUGUGAAAGCCCCCAACUCAACCGAGGAGGGUCAUUGGAAACUGGGGAACUUGAGUGCAGAAGAGGAGAGUGGAAUUCCACGUGUAGCGGUGAAAAGCGUAGAGAUGUGGAGGAACACCAGUGGCGAUAGCGACUCUCUGGUCUGUAACUGACGCUGAGGAGCGAAAGCGUGGGGAGCGAACAGGAUUAGAAACCCUGGUAGUCCACGCCGUAAACGAUGAGUGCUAAGUAUUAGAGGGUUUCCGCCCCUUAGUGCUGAUGCUAACGCAUUAAGCACUCCGCCUGGGGAGUACGGUCGCAAGACUGAAACUCAAAGGAAUUGACGGCGGCCCGCACAAGCGGUGGAGCAUGUCGUUU
rnacentral:rRNA from 1 species